GAUGAACGCUAGCGGCAGGCUUAACACAUGCAAGUCGAGGGGCAGCGGGUUGUAGCAAUACAAUGCCGGCGACCGGCGCACGGGUGAGUAACGCGUAUGCAACCUGCCUGUAACAGGGGGAUAACCCGGAGAAAUCCGGCCUAACACCGCAUAACACAUGUAAGCCGCAUGGUUUUCAUGUCAAAUAUUCGUAGGUUACAGAUGGGCAUGCGUCCGAUUAGCUAGUUGGCGGGGUAACGGCCCACCAAGGCAGCGAUCGGUAGGGGUUCUGAGAGGAAGGUCCCCCACAUUGGAACUGAGACACGGUCCAAACUCC
rnacentral:rRNA from 1 species